AUAGAAAAAGGGGAUUGCCCUUCCUCAUAUUCACACAUGCUCCCUGCCUGCCUACCAAGGCCGGCCCCAUCUGCUGUAUGUCAGUAGUGACAUACAGAUGAGGAACAGGAAACCUUCAGAAAACCUUCUCAGAUUGAGGAGCAUGAUCUGGAAUAGUGAUGUCAAGAUAGGAACUUUUCUCACUGAAGACUCCUGAGGAGAGCAAUGUCCUCUUUUAGACCUGAACUGAUGAUGCAUUCCAAGUUUUUCUUCUAUGUCAUCAUUUAUCUCUUAAUAGCAGGUGGUCAGCCAGAUGUGAGAGUCACUCAACGUCCAAGUUUCCUGGUCUCAAAAACAGGACAGUCAGUGAUCCUUGAAUGUGACCCUGCUUCAGGACACCUUACAGCACUGUGGUACCAGCAGUUACAGGGUCAAGGGCCUGAGAUGCUUUUUUACUUCUAUAAUAAGCAAUUAAAUGAUCAAAAGACAACUGCUAAUCGAUUCACAGCUAAGCAGGAUAAAAACUUCCAGCUCACCAUCAGUUCCUUGCAGCAGGAGGAUUCUGCUCUCUAUCUCUGUGCUAGCAGCAAAGACACAGUGCCACAGGGGCAUCUCUCAUGUGUUCAUAAACUUGUUGGACCCAAGCCCAGGGAGCAAUGA